GUGCCAGCCGCCGCGGUAAUACCAGCACCCCGAGUGGUCGGGACGAUUAUUGGGCCUAAAGCAUCCGUAGCCGGUUUUACAAGUCCUCCGUUAAAUCCAGCUGCUUAACAGAUGGGCUGCGGAGGAUACUAUAAGACUAGGAGGCAGGAGAGGCAAGCGGUACUCAGUGGGUAGGGGUAAAAUCCGUUGAUCCAUUGAAGACCACCAGUGGCGAAGGCGGCUUGCCAGAAUGCGCUCGACGGUGAGGGAUGAAAGCUGGGGGAGCAAACCGGAUUAGAAACCCUUGUAGUCC
rnacentral:rRNA from 1 species